rnacentral:lncRNA from 1 species
CUGAGUGUGGCGGCGGUGGACCCCCUCCAAAUGCAAGCCCUGGAGCAUAGACAGGUUCCCGCCGCCCAAGCCGGGUGCGUGCACGGAGUGCUAGGGGUUGUGCGUGCAAUGGGUGCAUGGCACGGGUGCAUGGGUGAAGAUGCUUUGGAGACACGAACGGCAGUUGUUUGUGGUGCGUAGGCGUUAGUUGGCGGGCGGGCGUGUGCUCCUUACAGAACCUGCUUCACAGGUCUUCGUGUGUUUCCGUUCGCAUGUUCUUCCUCAGACCGAAGUGCUUUCUUCCUCAUGUUGAAUGCAGCGCACGGCUUUAAGCCGUGGCUGCACGACGGCGAGCUAGGCUGUGUGAAGCGGGUGCGGCCAGCACUGCAUGACGGACUGAAACUGCUGCACAGCGGCGGCGCCAUGCGCGUGUGCUGCGUGGGCGUGGGACACGGCGCAGCUUUGGCGGUGGCAGCCGGCG